rnacentral:rRNA from 1 species
AUUGAACGCUGGCGGCAGGCCUAACACAUGCAAGUCGAACGAGUGGCGGACGGGUGAGUAAUGUAUGGGAAACUGCCUGAUGGCGGGGGAUAACUACUGGAAACGGUAACUAAUACCGAGUACCAUAAGAUGUGCCCAGAUGGGCUUAGCUUGUUGGUGGGGUAACGGCGCACAAAGGCGACGACCCCUAGCUGGUCUGAGAGGAUGACCAGCCACACUGGAACUGAGACCCGGUCCAGACUCCUACGGGAGGCAGCAGUGGGGAAUAUUGCACAAGGGGCGCAAGCCUGAUGCAGCCAUGCCGCGUGUAUGAAGAAGGCCUUCGGGUUGUAAAGUACUUUCAGCGGGGAGGCGUUACCCGCAGAAGAAGCACCGGCUAACUCCGUGCCAGCAGCCGCGGUAAUAC